GAGUCCAGUGGUUAUACGGAAUAGCCAAAGCAAACAUAAAGACCGUCAUGAAGAAGAAUCCCAUCAUCUGAAUCGCAAACCUUCCAAUGACGUCUAUAAAAGCAACUGUGAACCAGUAACCAGGUACCGUGCUACACAAGGCAAUGAGAGUUUGCGCGCGUGCGAUCUUGAAAACUUCUUGAAUUGCGUUCAUAGUUUGAGCCGGAGGUAUCCACCCGAUUGCGCUGAAAAUAUCUUUUUGGAAUAGGUUUUGACUGUAGAAAGCGAUGUCGAGAAGGAACCAUGUUGAUGUAGUUCCUAGCAAAUGAAGUCCAUGGCGUUUCAUAAAUUCCUUGGAAAACAAGGAAAAGGCUUUGGACUUAUUAUUUGAGAUCUCUUCCACUUUCUCCUGUUCUGCCUCUAUCUCCACUUGAAGAACCCUAGACAUGUCUGAAGCAGCCAGCUUUGCGUCCUUAGCAACCAAAGCUGUGUAUCUUGCGGUUUCAGGCAUCUUGGACCUAAUUUUUUAUAUUUUCUAAACAAAAACAUCAUUAAUUAUUUACCUAACCACAAUUCAACCAAUAAAAAAAUAGAAGAUAUAUUAUCAUUGGUCAUACAACAUUAAUUAUUAAUAAAUUUUACAUAGAAAACCGAAAAUGACAUAUAAUUUGGAACAAAAAAAUUUAUCUAAAACGACUUAUAUUAAAAAACGGAGGGAGUAUAUAUUAAUAUUAUAAAUUAAUUUCCAUUAGAAAAUUAAAUGAAAUUCAUGUUUCUAUAGAUAAUUGGCAUUCAAUUCCUGAUAUUAAUCUAUUUAUUCUCUAAUUGUUAACUACGCAACAUAAUUCCCUAAAUGUGUAUAUUCACUUAACAAAGUUAGACGUUUUAAAAUAUUUCAUAUUAACAUGUUUAUUUCUAAUUAUUGACGACGCAAUAUAAAGCUAAAUGUAUAUUUACUUAACAAAAUUAGGCAUAAAAGAAAUUUACAUUAAACACUAAUUUGUCUAUCUUUUACUUUCUUUUAACCUGUUUAAUUAUUUUAUAAUCGUUGAAUACACUCUACAACUUUUUAAAAUGUUUAUUGACUUUAAAGACGUUUAAAAAACAACAUUAAACACUAAGACUCCGAUUGGUGACUAUUUUGAAAAUAAGAAAAACGAAUAAGAAAGAAACGUAAAAGAAUAUAAUUGUAGAAAUGGUUGUUCUAUCCAAUAUUUGACAAGAAAUAAUUUUGUUUUCAUUUCUCUUAAAAAAAGAAAUAGUAGAGAAUGAAAUUGAAAAAUUAUUUUUUAUGAAAGGUGAUUUUUUUUAGAAAUAUAAGAGAAUGCAUUAUUACUCGUUGUUCUUUAGUAAAUUUUUUAUCAAUGUUAGAUUUUCUUUCUCUCAAAUUCUUGAUUAUUUAUUCCCUAAUUAUUGAUUCCGCCACAUAAUUCUCUAAAUAUGGUAAAAUCAGAUAUUUAGAAAAUCUACGCUAAACGCUAACAAAAAAGAAAAAUCUACACUAAACACUAGUGAAUAUCUUUAGUCUAAUUUUGGUUUUUUAUCUUUUUGUCGUAUAUUGUCCCAAAUUAGAUGUCGAAACGUCUCUAACUCUCACGAUUAUUCAAAUUUUAGCAAAAUAAAAAACUCUCACGAUUAUAUGUAUUUUUAAAAAAAUUUAUCGCAAGCUAGGUUAUUACAUUAAAGCCUAGCUUCAUGUCUUUGUGAGCUUACUUCUUCCUUGGGUUGAAGAGCUUAAAUGUCAAUUGUUGUUCCUCUGUUCAACCGGUUUUACUAUCUAUCAAUUACACAUUCGUAGUUAUAUAAAUCAAAAAAAUUCAACAAAACCAAAAAUAUUAUUUACUCAGAGAUUUGACCUGAAAUCGAUACAUGAACAUUUAAUUUGAUUUCAAUAGCAUUAGAACAUCAACAUAUCACACGAAGAAGAACUUAAGUUGUCAAAAAAACAAGAACAAAAAAAAAACAAAGGACAUAUUUCAACUACACCAUUUCGACAGUUCUACUAUCGUUGUUGUUCUGCUCAUUGCUUUCAUUUUCACCAGACAUUUCUUCAAGCGAUUUGCCUUUGGAUUCAGGCACCAAGAAAGUGAAGAGAAUACCCAAGAAGUUAAUCACACCCAACACGAGAAGCGAGUUCCUGACCCCAAUCCCUGGAGGGUAUCCUGCGUCUGUCUUGUUCUUGUCAGGGCUUUGAGCCAAGUACAAGAAUCCAAACGCACCAACCAUCGCACCAAGCUUUCCUGAUGCGGCAGAGAUACCAUGACAUGUUGAUCUGAACCUAGCUGGGAAGAUUUCUGCCGGCACGACGAAUGUUGUAGCAUUGGGUCCAAAGUUAGCAAAAAAGAAUGUUAAGGAGUACAUGAUAACGAAUCCAAUGCGGUUGUCCUUGUGAGUCCAGUGGUUGUACGGAAUAGCCAAAGCGAACAUAAAGACCGUCAUGAAAAAGAAUCCCAUCAGCUGAAUGGCGAAUCUUCCAAUGACGUCAAUGAACACAACUGUGAACCAGUAACCAGGAACCGUGCUACACAAGGCGAUGAGGGUUUGCGCACGCGCGAUCUUGAAAACUUCUUGAACCGCGUUCAUGGUCUGAGCCGGAGGGAUCCACCCGAUCGCGCUGAAAAUAUCUUUCUGGAAAAGGUUUUGACUGUAGAAAGCGAUGUCGAGAAGGAACCAUGUUGAUGUAGUGCCAAGCAAGUGAAGUCCAUGGCGUUUCAUGAAUUGCUUGGAAAACAAGGAAAAGGAUUUGGACUUAUCCGUUGAAAUCUCUUCCAAAAUCUGUUCCGGCUCUAUCUCCACUUGCAGAACCCUAGACAUGUCUGAAGCAGCUUGCUGUGCGUUUUUAGCAACCAAAGCUGUGUAUCUCGCGGUUUCCGGCAUCUUGGACCUUGAGUAAUACGUCAUCGACGCAGGGAUAGCACCAAACAUGAGGAUUAUACGCCAUACAAAAUCUGCUUGAGGUACCGUGGAUCUCAAGGCAUCAUCCGCAUAGGCCGGCGCUGGGAACUUAGCAUCAAAUAUAGAGGAAAUGAUAAUAGCAAAGAUGCCACCAGCCAUGAUCCCAAACCCUUGCAUUGCGAAAACAGCUGAGAUAAACGCUCCACGUGUCUUCUUGUUAGCGUAUUCAGACAUGAUUGUUGCGGAUAAAGGAUAGUCACCACCAAUCCCAAACCCUAGCCAAAACCUAAAGAAACAUAGCGUGGCCAUCACGGUUUUUGGCUUGUCUCCAAAAGAGAGACCAGAGGCUAUGGAGCAAAGAACCAUGAUCAUCAACGUCAUGCCAUACACUUUCUUCCUCCCGAGCUUAUCACCAAGCCACCCGAAAAACAGCUGACCGGCAAGGGUCCCACAGAAGGCAACACCGUUGGUGGCAGCAGCAACAUUGGGAGGGAGAGUCCCUGGCUUAUGGGAGCCUUCUUCGUGGUAGUAAAUGCGGCCGAGUAGCUUUGUGACAAGAGAGAUGCAGAAGAGAUCGUAUGCAUCGGUGAAGAAUCCCAUUCCAGCAAUUACAAUCGCAGUAAAAUGGUACCAUUGCGUCUUGGCUACGUCAAGUGCAUUCAAAACUUGUAACUGAUUAUCUGCCAUUCUUCACUUCUGUAAUUUCAUCAAAAAAAAAAUCAACAUUAGUAAUUUUUUAGUAGCAUAUUAAAGCUCGAACAUCUAAAUAAUGGACUGAUCGUAUAUUUUCAAAUAUUACUAAAAAAGUUUCAUUUACUAAAGACAACUCCAUUGUUUUUAAUUUUAUAAAGAUUUGAUAAGCAAUUAUUAUUAUUUUUUUUUGAACUAAUUUUGUUGUUAAGCAAUUAUACAGACAUGAAAAUAGUGAUGUGUAAUUCAUAAGUUAUAUGCUCUACAUUUUUCGGGAAAAGAUGAUAUGGCUCUUUACCUCCACGUAACCAAAUCUUAAAAAGUGAACGAUGAUGUGGUAGGUCUGUCUAUACAUGUAUAUGAAUUAAGGCCUAAUUUCCUAUGAAUUAAUCCAAAACAAAACAAAAAUUUCUAGAAGGGGAGAGGUAAGAUCCAAGUCUAAAACUCUACAAGAGAACUUAUAGUAAUAAUGAUCCAAGAAAGUGGAAAACACAGCUUGAUUAAAAGAGCAAUAGUAGAAUCAAAUCAGAUUGACUAACAUUAUUUUUCAUCCUUAAAAAAGGUAUGGAUUGUCAAAUUAUACAUAAACAUCCACAAACAUUAUUAAUGAAAAACAAAAAGACUUACAUUAAUAUACAAUCUUCUUCUACGUGUGAAAUGAUCUGAUCUCUGGGAAAAAUGUAGAGAUGGCGGCAAAGAAAGUGAAGUGGGCGUUGAAGCUACUGAUCGAUGAACAAGGAGGAUAUAUAGUGCAACCGUUUUGAAACCGCCAUUUAUAAGCAAGUAUAUAUGAGAUAUUCAACUAGGACAGGCUGUUCUGUUUUGCUGCAAAUAUUUAUAUUUUAUCAUUGAAAACAUAGCUGGUCCAAUAUUAUAACACGUUCUUGGUGUUUUUCCCGUAUUGACCAUGAUUUGUUUUCUGAUACGGAGAGUUUAAUGCUUGCAAAACGCAAAAUUUUAAUUCUGGGAACUUCACUAUUUAAUACAAUCACCAGAUACCUAUUACCUGCCAUACGGUUUAGGCAGAUAUAAGUUUCAAAUACUAAUAAAGUAUAAGUAAAAUUUUGUCCAAAAAAUUAAAAAUAAAAUAAAAUAAGUAAAAUGUCGUACACUCUUAAAACAAAAAAAUUAGAAGAAGAAACAAGAUUAAUUAGAAGAAGAAACAAGUUUCAAUUAGGAGUGUGUUCAAACUUUGAUUACUUAUUAAAAAAUCUUCUGCUUGACAAAUAUGUUAUGAAAUUUUAGUAAUAAUUUGUAUAACUCAAUGACGUGAACAAAAAAUUAGAAGAAGAAACAAGUUUCAAUUAGGACUGUGUUCAAACUUUGAUUACUUAUUAAAAAAAUCUUCUGCUUGACAAAUAUGUUAUGAAAUUUUAGUAAUAAUUUGUAUAACUCAAUGACGUGAACAAAAAAAAUUAGAAGAAGAAACAAGAUUAAUACAACAAACAUUUAUUUUGUUGACAGUUUAUGCCCAAAAUGUUAUAUCAUGCCAAUGUAUUUUUAUUUAGUAAUAUUAGAUAUGUAUCUAACUUUGUUUUAGUAAAAAGAGCAGAAAUGCAGGAUGAACAUAUCUACAGAAACAGCCUACAGUGUUAAUGGUUUUUAAUAGAAUAAUUUUAUCAUUUUUACUAUGUAUAGAAAUAAAUAUAUUUUUGCUAGAAAAUCAUUCACUGAUUCUAGAAUGAUUGCAACAUAGAAGAGAGACUGCAUAACUGAACCACAAAGAGAUUACAGUGAUCUUUUCCAAUCCUAACAUAAAAGAGUUUUUCUACAGAUUUUCAAGAGGCAUUUUCACACAACAAAACGUGAAAUAAAUAUUUAUUGUAAAGUGAUAGUAAGGCUCAUGACUUCCAACUGUAAAUUUUGUGUAACAUAAUUAUAUAUUAAUAUAAAACUUGUUUGUUUUUUCUAGCUUAGUUGAUCUCACGAUUACAAACCAUAGAGGAUGUUGACAAAACCUGAAGAAAGUUAACAGGCAUAUAUGAAGCCAUUAGUAAAUUAAAUGAAAAUUUAUUUUCAAACAAAAAUAAGAGGUGAUGGUACAUUUUUAGUCUACUUAUCUUGAAAGAAGGCAAACGUUUUUAAAUGGAAGGAAAAAAAACUGAACUGAUGGUAUUCCACAUUUUUCAGUAUAUUGAGCUAAUUUGCUCAAAAUCUUAAAGGGUAAAACUGAUCAACCAUGUGUAACUCAUAAAUCAUAGGUUUGGAACAAUGAAAUCCUAAUUCAGAUAUUUAACUACUAAUAAAGUAAUUAUCACAAUUUUUCGGCGGAUUUCAGUAACUACCUCACUUGUUGCCCUGAACCAACCGAUAGAGAAGAAUAUUUCUUUUAAAAUCGGUACACAGACAUUUUCAUUUCAAUAGCAUUAGAACAUCAAAAUAUCAAAUGAAGAACAAAUUAAGUUGCUAGAAACAAGAAGACAAGAGAAAAAUAGAAACAAAGGGCUUCUUAUAACAAAAUAUACUAUUGGGACCGUUCUACUAUCACUUUUUGUGUUCUCAUUGUCUUCAUUUUCACCGGACAUUUCCUCAAGCGACUUCCCUUUAGAUUCAGGUACCAAGAAAGUGAAGAGAAUACCCAAGAAGUUAACCACACCUAACACGAGAAGCGAGUUUCUGACUCCAAUACCUGGAGGGUAUCCUGCGUCUGUCUUGUUCUUGUCAGGGCUUUGAGCCAAGUACAAGAACCCAAACGCACCAACCAUCGCACCUAGUUUACCUGAUGCAGCAGAGAUACCAUGGCAGGUGGAUCUGAACCUGGCUGGGAAGAUCUCCGCUGGUACAACAAAGGUUGUAGCAUUGGGUCCAAAGUUAGCGAAAAAGAACGUCAAAGAGUACAUGAUAACGAAUCCAAUUCGGUUCUCCUUGUGAGUCCAGUGGUUGUAUGGAAUAGCCAAAGCAAACAUAAACACCGUCAUGAAGAAGAAUCCUAUCAUCUGAAUCGCAAACCUUCCAAUGACGUCUAUAAAAGCAACUGUGAACCAGUAACCAGGUACCGUGCUACACAAGGCAAUGAGAGUCUGCGCGCGUGCGAUCUUGAAAAGUUCUUGAAUCGCGUUCAUAGUUUGAGCCGGAGGUAUCCACCCUAUUGCGCUGAAAAUAUCCUUUUGGAAAAGGUUUUGACUGUAGAAAGCGAUGUCGAGAAGGAACCAUGUUGAUGUAGUACCUAGCAAAUGAAGCCCAUGGCGUUUCAUGAAUUCCUUGGAAAACAAGGAAAAGGCUUUGGACUUAUUAUUUGAGAUCUCUUCCACUUUCUCCUGUUCUGCCUCUAUCUCCACUUGCAGAACCCUAGACAUGUCUGAAGCAGCCAGCUUUGCGUCCUUAGCAACCAAAGCUGUGUAUCUUGCGGUUUCAGGCAUCUUGGACCUUGAGUAAUACGUCAUGGCCGCAGGGAUAGCACCAACCAUCAAGAUUAUACGCCAUACAAGAUCUGCUUGAGGUACCGUGGAUCUCAAGGCAUCUUCCGCAUAGGCCGGGGCAGGGAACUUAGCUUCAAAAGCAGAGGAAAUGAUUAUAGCAAAGAUGCCACCAGCCAUGAUCCCAAACCCUUGCAUAGCGAAAACCGCAGAAACAAACGCGCCACGAGUUUUCUUGUUAGCGUAUUCAGACAUGAUUGUUGCGGACAAAGGAUAGUCACCACCAAUCCCAAACCCUAGCCAAAACCUAAAGAAACAUAGCGUGGCCAUCACGGCUUUUGGCUCGUGUCCGAAAGAGAGACCAGAGGCGACAGAGCAAAGGACCAUGACCAUCAACGUCAUUCCAUAAACUUUCUUCCUCCCAAGCUUAUCUCCAAGCCACCCGAAAAAGAGUUGACCGGCUAGGGUUCCACAGAAGGCGACGCCGUUCACGGCAGCAGCAACAUUGGGAGGGAGAGUCCCUGGCUUUGCGGAGCCUGGGACGUGGUAGUAAAUGCGGCCAAGGAGCUUGGUGACAAGAGAGAUGCAGAAGAGAUCGUAAGCGUCGGUGAAGAAUCCCAUUCCGGCGAUUAUGAUGGCUGUAAAAUGGUACCAUUGCGUCUUCGCUACAUCGAGUGCAUUCAACACUUUUAACUGAUCCCCAGCCAUUCUUGUUCACCUCUGUAAUUUCAUCAAGAACUCAAUAUUAGCAAAUUUUAGUAGUAUGAAUCAUAUAAGAACGACUGCUCGUAGAUUUUCAAAUAAUAGUAAAAACUAUCUCUUGGAACUAAGAAAGAGUUCGUUACAAACAUUAAAGCACUUGGCCAACUUGGAAUUAAGUUAGGCAAUUUUAAAAGCAAAAGAAUUAAAUAUUUAAACCCCACUUGAAAUUUAAUGUUAUACUAUAGUAUAUGAGUUUUAUUUCUCAUUUCUCAUUUCGUUUAUCUCAUAAUCAUAAGCCAAAAAGUAUGUUGACCUAAGAUUAGAAAGAAAAAAAAAGUAAGGUAUGUUAAUCAAGCCUGAAGUAAGGUGGUAACUGGCGAUUCUAAAGCCAUUAGUAAACUACAUAGUCUACAUGUAAAAUAACUUAAUUAUAAGCAUUCACAUAAUAUAAAAGAAAAUGAAGGGAUGACAAAUGUCAAGUGUUUUAUUUAUUAUUAAACCGUAUUAUGCAGAAAUGAAAGUAACUAAGUAUGUAACUUGUUUUCAAAAAAUUGAUUCCAAGAUUUUCGACUUUUCCAAAAUAAAUUAAUAAUUGAUUAUAUUAUUUUGGUUUCUUCACUCGUACGUAACAAAUCUUUUAAAGUAAACGAGGAAAUGGGAGGUCUAUAUAUUUAUAUGAAUUUUCAACGAUUACUAUAUUAUCUUUACUCUAUAGUCACCCACGAAGGUUGACUUGUGACAUUUGAAUCUGAACACGAUACCAAAAUUUCUCACGAGUAAGAGAGCAAGUUGUUUUGUCUUAAUUGCGGAUACACUUACUCCUCAAAUUAAAUACGGAGUAUAGUUUUUCCUCUUAUUGAAGACAUUAUAUUUUUAUUUUCUUUUUAUUAGAGUAACAUAAUUUUCGUUAUUUAUGUGCUUCUAAAUCAUCUGAUUCAUGCACUUAUAAAAAAUGUCUAUAUUAAGGAAGAGAUAAGAUCAAACAAAUACGUUUUCAAGAAAACGAAUCCUAAUUAAUGAUCCAGAAAAUUGGAAAACAUAAUUUGAAAAUUUUUUUUAAAGCAACAAUAAGAGAAUCACAAACAAAUGAAGCUCAGAUUGAUCCAAAAUCACUACUGACAAAUACCUAACCGAGAUAGAAGAGGCAGAAUGGACAAAAUAACAUCAUUCAGCAACCAUACAAUUGCCAAAUUAUAUAUAAACAUCCGAAAACAUAAUGAAAAGAAAAACGUACAUGAAUAUACAACAGUCUUCUUGUUAUGUGUGUGGGAUAUGAUAUGAUCAAGUGUUUAAGGUAUAUGUCAGAAGAGUGCAGAGAGAAAGGUCCUCUAGUUUCCUCUAUUUCUGGGGAAAAUGAAGAGAGAUGGAAGGAGAGGAAGUGAAAUGAGCGUUGAAGCUGUUGAUGAACAAGGACAAAGUGCAAGCGUUUUGAAACGACCAUUUAUAAGCGACUCUAUAAGAGAUAUUCCAUUUUAUGUUUCGGUAUAUUCUCCCUCUAGCGACGCCGUUUUCUAUCUUCAAUAUUUUUUCUCUCUUUUUAUUACAACUUUUAUUUCGCUGUAAUUAUUCUUUUAUUAUCUAAAAACAGCUGUUUUACUAUAAUAAUAAGUUCUUGUUUUGUACUUGUAAUUGACCAUGAACUGUACUUAGAUACGGAGGUUUUGAUGUAUUUUUAUAAUAUUAAAUUGGGAUCUUCAACAUUAAGUACAAUCACUAGAUACCUAUUCCCUGGCAUGCUAUUUAGGCAGAUAUAAGAUUUAAAUCAUAAUAGAGUCAAAAUAGGGGUUAAAAAAUGAGAGACUUACAUAAAAAGACACAUUGUGAGUUUUGUUUACUCUAUAAGACACAAAGCAACUUUGACACACUUUUUCCUGCCAGCUGUCUUUAUUGAGACGGAAAUAACCUUGGUUAUUACUAAAGAAAAAUAUACUUAUUUUAAGGAAGCAAACCGAAAAAGAACCAGUUACCUUGUAAUUGCAAUAAAGGAUAAAGCAAAUAAAACAAAAAAUUAGAUAUAUGAGUUUAUGAGAAUAUAUCGUGAACGUCAGAUCAUUUUGAAGAAAGCAAAUCCAACGAUCCGGAGAUGUGUUGAUUUGUGGGCGAGUUUUUGUGGACGAAUUCUCAUGGACAAGGUUUCUCGUAGACAAUUUGUGGACACCAUAUAUGUGGACAAACAAAUUGGUAGACAAGAGAAGCGUUGAUAACAUGAUUUUAUCGAAUGUUAUAGAAAAUAAUUGCCUUCUUUGUCUGUCUAAGAAAAAAAUGAGAAUUGUUUAUUAACUUCUUGUAUACUCGAUUUAGAUAUUUAUAAAUUGAAUAAAGAAGAAAUUUUUUUGUGAAUCAAUGAAUUAUGGAUCUAAUUCGUCAUUUAGUAAAAUUUCUCUAUAAAAUCAUUCAUCAUUCAUCAUUAUCAUGAAACAACGAUUAAGCUUUUCUGUGGACACAAUUCAGUGGUCGAACACACUUCUGUGGACACAGUUUAUGUGGACGUGAAAAUGUUACAAAAUUUUCUGUGGACACCGUAUCUACCACCACCUUUUCCACCUCAUGUCUUCCACCUCAUAUUCACAUCCACCACCACAACAUCCACCAACACGGCAUCCACCACCACUUCCUCCUCCUCGCAUCUUCCACCUUUGUAUCCACAUCCACCACAACAGCAUCCACAGCCACGACAUCCACCACCACAUCCUCCUCCUCACGUCUUCCACCUCCGUAUCAACAUCCACCACCAUAGCAUCCACCAUCACGGCAUCCAUAAUCACCACCAGCUCUUCAUCCUCACGUCUUCCACCUCUGUAUCCACAUCCACCACAACGGCAUCCACCACCACCUCCUCCUCUCGAGUAGCCACCUCCACCACUGUUUUUACCCUCAUGAACCAAGAUAAAAAAUCAGACAAGAAAUUAACUUUCCAUAUAUGAAUCUGUUAGAUAUAUCUAUGAAAUUAGGAACAUAGAGUUAUGAUUGAGAAUGGAUUGGAGUUUCUGAAUUCAUGGUGUGACUCACCAAUGGUCGAGUAUGAAGAGUUGGCGGAACAGUUUCAGAUCGAACAAAAGCUAGAAGUGGAGACAUAAAGCUUCAACAAAGUGAUGGAGAUGUCGAAUUUGAGAAAGUGGAUUAGGGUUCGGAUCGAUCUGUAGUUUUAGUAGAAGUUGGUAAAGAGCCAAAAUUAGGGUUCAUAUCUGGGGGUAAUCGAUUUUGAAAAGGGGAUCUGUCUUACAAAAGUGAAAAAGAUUUUAUUAUAUUUCGAAAUUUUUUAUUUUCCUCACUAGUUUUCUAAUCGUUAUAAUGAAAAUGAGAAAAUCGGUUGGUUCAGUUUCUUGGUUUACGAUCUAGUUAGACACUUAUCCAAUAGUUAUUCUUUACAUAGAUAAGGGGUAGUUAUGACAAUUUACUAAGAGAAAGUGUCUACUUGGGCCAAAGUGUCUAUGAGAGUAAUUCAUAACUUGGAAUGUGUCUCUGAGAGUAAAUUUCUCUUAAAAAAUUCUAACAAAAUGAAUUCAGUUAGCAUUUAGCAGUGUGGUCAGACUUUGGCUACUUAUAAAAAACUACACUAUGUUUGCCUAAUUCGAGACAAUCAUUUAAUUUUAAAAUAUUAGAAUUUGAUGACACACUAUCUUAUAAAGUUGUAAUAAUAACUUUUAAUUUGAAUAAAAAUAAACUUAGGGACGUGAACAAAAGUAUUUAGACGAAGAAAUCAACAUUGAUACAACAAGCAGUUAUUUUACGGCAAAAAGUUAUUUUAACAAUUUUUUUCAACGAUUACUAUAUUAUCUUUAUUCUAUAGUCACCCACGAAGGUUGACUUGUGACAUUUGAAUCUGAACACGAUACCAAAAUUUCUCACGAGUAAGAGAGCAAGUUGUUUUGUCUUAAUUGCGGAUACACUUACUCCUCAAAUUAAAUACGGAGUAUAGUUUUUCCUCUUAUUGAAGACAUUAUAUUUUUAUUUUCUUUUUAUUAGAGUAACAUAAUUUUCGUUAUUUAUGUGCUUGUAAAUCAUCUGAUUCAUGCACUUAUAAAAAAUGUCUAUAUUAAGGCAGAGAUAAGAUCAAACAAAUACGUUUUCAAGAAAACGAAUCCUAAUUAAUGAUCCAGAAAAUUGGAAAACAUAAUUUGAAUUUUUUUUUUAAAGCAACAAUAAGAGAAUCACAAACAAAUGAAGCUCAGAUUGAUCCAAAAUCACUACUGACAAAUACCUAACCGAGAUAGAAGAGGCAGAAUGGACAAAAUAACAGCAUUCUGCAACCAUACAAUUGCCAAAUUAUAUAUAAACAUCCGAAAACAUAAUGAAAAGAAAAACGUACAUGAAUAUACAACAGUCUUCUUGUUAUGUGUGUGGGAUAUGAUAUGAUCAAGUGUUUAAGGUAUAUGUCAGAAGAGUGCAGAGAGAAAGGUCCUCUAGUUUCCUCUAUUUCUGGGGAAAAUGAAGAGAGAUGGAAGGAGAGGAAGUGAAAUGAGCGUUGAAGCUGUUGAUGAACAAGGACAAAGUGCAAGCGUUUUGAAACGACCAUUUAUAAGCGACUCUAUAAGAGAUAUUCCAUUUUAUGUUUCGGUAUAUUCUCCCUCUAGCGACGCCGUUUUCUAUCUUCAAUAUUUUUUCUCUCUUUUUAUUACAACUUUUAUUUCGCUGUAAUUAUUCUUUUAUUAUCUAAAAACAGCUGUUUUACUAUAAUAAUAAGUUCUUGUUUUGUACUUGUAAUUGACCAUGAACUGUACUUAGAUACGGAGGUUUUGAUGUAUUUUUAUAAUAUUAAAUUGGGAUCUUCAACAUUAAGUACAAUCACUAGAUACCUAUUCCCUGGCAUGCUAUUUAGGCAGAUAUAAGAUUUAAAUCAUAAUAGAGUCAAAAUAGGGGUUAAAAAAUGAGAGACUUACAUAAAAAGACACAUUGUGAGUUUUGUUUACUCUAUAAGACACAAAGCAACUUUGACACACUUUUUCCUGCCAGCUGUCUUUAUUGAGACGGAAAUAACCUUGGUUAUUACUAAAGAGAAAUAUACUUAUUUUAAGGAAGCAAACCGAAAAAGAACCAGUUACCUUGUAAUUGCAAUAAAGGAUAAAGCAAUAAAACAAAAAAUUAGAUAUAUGAGUUUAUGAGAAUAUAUCGUGAACGUCAGAUCAUUUUGAAGAAAGCAAAUCCAAUGAUCCGGAGAUGUGUUGAUUUGUGGGCGAGUUUUUGUGGACGAAUUCUCAUGGACAAGGUUUCUCGUAGACAAUUUGUGGACACCAUAUAUGUGGACAAACAAAUUGGUAGACAAGAGAAGCGUUGAUAACAUGAUUUUAUCGAAUGUUAUAGAAAAUAAUUGCCUUCUUUGUCUGUCUAAGAAAAAAAUGAGAAUUGUUUAUUAACUUCUUGUAUACUCGAUUUAGAUAUUUAUAAAUUGAAUAAAGAAGAAAUUUUUUUGUGAAUCAAUGAAUUAUGGAUCUAAUUCGUCAUUUAGUAAAAUUUCUCUAUAAAAUCAUUCAUCAUUCAUCAUUAUCAUGAAACAACGAUUAAGCUUUUCUGUGGACACAAUUCAGUGGUCGAACACACUUCUGUGGACACAGUUUAUGUGGACGUGAAAAUGUUACAAAAUUUUCUGUGGACACCGUAUCUACCACCACCUUUUCCACCUCAUGUCUUCCACCUCAUAUUCACAUCCACCACCACAACAUCCACCAACACGGCAUCCACCACCACUUCCUCCUCCUCGCAUCUUCCACCUUUGUAUCCACAUCCACCACAACAGCAUCCACAGCCACGACAUCCACCACCACAUCCUCCUCCUCACGUCUUCCACCUCCGUAUCAACAUCCACCACCAUAGCAUCCACCAUCACGGCAUCCAUAAUCACCAUCAGCUCUUCAUCCUCACGUCUUCCACCUCUGUAUCCACAUCCACCACAACGGCAUCCACCACCACCUCCUCCUCUCGAGUAGCCACCUCCACCACUGUUUUUACCCUCAUGAACCAAGAUAAAAAAUCAGACAAGAAAUUAACUUUCCAUAUAUGAAUCUGUUAGAUAUAUCUAUGAAAUUAGGAACAUAGAGUUAUGAUUGAGAAUGGAUUGGAGUUUCUGAAUUCAUGGUGUGACUCACCAAUGGUCGAGUAUGAAGAGUUGGCGGAACAGUUUCAGAUCGAACAAAAACUAGAAGUGGAGACAUAAAGCUUCAACAAAGUGAUGGAGAUGUCGAAUUUGAGAAAGUGGAUUAGGGUUCGGAUCGAUCUGUAGUUUUAGUAGAAGUUGGUAAAGAGCCAAAAUUAGGGUUCAUAUCUGGGGGUAAUCGAUUUUGAAAAGGGGAUCUGUCUUACAAAAGUGAAAAAGAUUUUAUUAUAUUUCGAAAUUUUUUAUUUUCCUCACUAGUUUUCUAAUCGUUAUAAUGAAAAUGAGAAAAUCGGUUGGUUCAGUUUCUUGGUUUACGAUCUAGUUAGACACUUAUCCAAUAGUUAUUCUUUACAUAGAUAAGGGGUAGUUAUGACAAUUUACUAAGAGAAAGUGUCUACUUGGGCCAAAGUGUCUAUGAGAGUAAUUCAUAACUUGGAAUGUGUCUCUGAGAGUAAAUUUCUCUUAAAAAAUUCUAACAAAAUGAAUUCAGUUAGCAUUUAGCAGUGUGGUCAGACUUUGGCUACUUAUAAAAAACUACACUAUGUUUGCCUAAUUCGAGACAAUCAUUUAAUUUUAAAAUAUUAGAAUUUGAUGACACACUAUCUUAUAAAGUUGUAAUAAUAACUUUUAAUUUGAAUAAAAAUAAACUUAGGGACGUGAACAAAAGUAUUUAGACGAAGAAAUCAACAUUGAUACAACAAGCAGUUAUUUUACGGCAAAAAGUUAUUUUAACAAUUUUUUAAAAAAAAUUAGUGAUUUUUGAUAUGUACAAAACUUUUUUAAAGUGAAAGAAGAGUAACUGCAUGAUAUCUAUAUCUACAGAGUACAUACUACAAUGUCAACUGUACUUAUUUGGGUAUGGCCAGGCCGUAUGGGAAUAACACCUAUUGUAAGGCUCAUCACUUGUGGAAUGGUAUGUUUCGUAUCUGACAAGUAAGAGACUUUAAUGCAUUUCCAGAAAUACAAGUGUAUCUUGCUUAGUUGUUUUAGCCCAGCAAGCUACCUUCUUUCUCUUCCGUGACCCAACAAGUUUUUUUUUCAUGGCAUCUUAAUUUCCAUCUAUUAUUAUUAUGUACUUAUGUAGUAAUAUUUUAUACAAUAAUGACCCUCGUUUUUAAUGAUUUAUAAAAUAAUUCAAUGGUGUUAAAAAAAAUACAAUAAUACUACUCCCUCCGUUCCCUAAAAUUACAUAUUAUAGAGAAAAAUCUUGUUUCAAAAAAAUCUAUUUUUUACAUUUUCAAUACAUAUUUUAUUAAUUAAUUGCAAACUUCAAAAAACUUAAUUGCACUAGUUGAAUUUUUAUUGGUUUAAAAUUAUGAAAAAAGAUAAACACAAAAAAAUAUAUAAAUUUAAUAUGUUUUAUUAAAAUGUGUGAAAAAUUUAGAAUAUGUAAUUUUAAGGAACAGAGAGAGUAUUUAGUAAUGCUCUAUAGUCUAUAUACAUGUCUUUCACGUGAAAUAAUUUCGUGAUGGAGUUAUACAAUCACAAUUUCUUUUCAUUUGGCGAAAACAUUAUGAAAUCUACACCAGUUGAUUUCAUAAUCUAUUUUAUUAAAGAAGACCCAAAACUGAAAUGUUUGAUCCAUAAAAAUGCUGGUUUAUGGUACACUAAAAACAUAUUGGAAUAAUAAUGCAUAUCUAUCUGCUGCUAAACCGUUUCGAUUACAUAGCAAAACGCAUAAAAUGGUAAACAAAUUUACAACUAAUAUAGUACGUAUGCUACGUUGAAAAAAUCACAUAAGCACAUGAAAUUAGCUACAGACUUACGAGCUACAUAUUUCCAAGCUUCUACAGAUGGAAAAUUGUCAACCUGAUUGCUCAACUAUCAUUCAAUUUUCAUGACAUUUCAAGAUGUUAUUCCUUCAAUUCAUGAUGACUUUUGUUGUAAAAACACAAGAUUUCAAGGCCUUACGUUCUUCGCAUGGUGCAAAAACGAUAUUUAUUUUUAGAUGAUAUGAUGGAUUAUGGGUUCCUGUGUUCGACCGAUGAUUACGAUCCCAAAGCGAUUUUUUUUUAGAAUAGUAAAAAUGUUUUGAUUUCCUCGUUACUUACUUAUAAAUUAUUAGUAUAUUUUAGAAACUUGGUUUCAAAAAACUGUUUAUAAAUUAUUGUAUUCUUUUAUUUUCUUCCUGCCUAGACGUUAGCAAGUAGUACCAACAAACAAAAUAUAUUAAAAUUGAUGGCUUGACUCUAUCCAUAUCAGAGUUGACUAAUUAAAUGUUGAUGUCUUUGGUAUGACAUAUUACGUCGAUGUGUUGAAAUGUUAUUGCUUGUAAAGGUGACUUCUCUGUCCAUAAUUCCAUCGUUCACAUUGGACGGAUCCUUUUUCUAGUUACGGAAGGUCUAAUCAAUUAAUCACACGAUUAUUAUGUAAAUUAUAUGUCUGUUAGAUGAAGCAUUUAAUCCUCUGCAUCCACACAUGGAGACCAUUAAUAGCAAGAGAAAACGAAUACAAUCUUAGUACCCUUCACAUCAUGAGAUUAUAACCAGUUUUUUGGAGUUGAUUUUGAAACGUUUAGACUUUAUUCAAGUAUAUGAGUACAAAUUAGAGCAUCCCCCUAAGAGGAAAAGCUUGAUAAAUAGAUUGAGGACCACAAGAAGUUGUGGCUCCGGCGUUAUCUUAUCAUUAAUGUUUGAUUCAUGUAGAAAAAUAUAUACAAGAUAUUUUGAAUUUAUGCCUAGUCCAUCAAUCUAUGCUACUCCAUUCAUCCAUAUGUAAAAUCCGAAAGGAUUAUUAAAAUUUAUUGACCAUGUGUAACUCAUAAAUCUUAGGUUUGUAACAAUCAAUUCACCAUUCAGAUAUUUAACUACUAAUUCAGUAAUUAUUAUUCGGCACUGGAUUUCAGUAACUACCUCACUUGUUGCAUUAAUAAAAAAACAAUGAAGAAGAACAUUUCUUUUUAAAAUCGAUACACAAACAUUUUGAUUUCAAUAGCGUUAGAACAUCAAAAUAUCAAACAUCAAAAUAUCAAAAUAUCAAACGAAGAACAACUUAAGUUGAUAGAAACAAAAAGACUUAUUAAAUCAAACUACACAAUGGGGACCGUUCUACUAUCACUUGUUGUGUUCUCAUUGUCUUCAUUUUCACCGGACAUUUCCUCGAGCGACUUCCCUUUAGAUUCAGGCACCAAGAAAGUGAAGAGGAUGCCCAAGAAGUUAACAACACCUAACACGAGAAGCGAGUUUCUGACUCCAAUCCCUGGAGGAUAUCCUGCGUCUGUCUUGUUCUUGUCAGGGCUUUGAGCCAAGUACAAGAAUCCAAAGGCACCAACCAUGGCACCUAACUUUCCUGAUGCAGCAGAGAUACCAUGGCAGGUAGAUCUGAACCUGGCUGGGAAGAUCUCCGCCGGUACAACGAAGGUUGUAGCAUUGGGUCCAAAGUUAGCAAAAAAGAACGUCAAAGAGUACAUGAUAACGAAUCCAAUUCGGUUCUCCUUGUGAGUCCAGUGGUUGUACGGAAUAGCCAAAGCAAACAUAAAGACCGUCAUGAAGAAGAAUCCCAUCAUCUGAAUCGCAAACCUUCCAAUGACGUCUAUAAAAGCAACUGUGAACCAGUAACCAGGUACCGUGCUACACAAGGCAAUGAGAGUUUGCGCGCGUGCGAUCUUGAAAACUUCUUGAAUUGCGUUCAUAGUUUGAGCCGGAGGUAUCCACCCGAUUGCGCUGAAAAUAUCUUUUUGGAAUAGGUUUUGACUGUAGAAAGCGAUGUCGAGAAGGAACCAUGUUGAUGUAGUUCCUAGCAAAUGAAGUCCAUGGCGUUUCAUAAAUUCC
rnacentral:lncRNA from 1 species